rnacentral:tRNA from 2 species
CGGAGUGUAGCGCAGCCCGGUAGCGCACCUGCUUCGGGAGCAGGGGGUCGGAGGUUCGAAUCCUCUCACUCCGACCA